rnacentral:rRNA from 1 species
UACGAAGGGGGCUAGCGUUGUUCGGAAUCACUGGGCGUAAAGGGCGCGUAGGCGGCCGAUCAAGUCGGGGGUGAAAGCCUGUGGCUCAACCACAGAAUUGCCUUCGAUACUGUUUGGCUUGAGACCGGAAGAGGUUAGUGGAACUGCGAGUGUAGAGGUGAAAUUCGUAGAUAUCGAGAGGAACACCGGUGGCGAAGGCGGCCUUCUGGACAGUGACUGACGCUGAGACGCGAAAGCGUGGGGAGCAAACAGG